UCCCCCACACCCUCUCUCUCUCUCUCUCUCUCUCCUCCCCCACCCCCUCUCCUUCUCUCUCUCUCUCUCUCUCUCUCUCUCGCGUUGCGUUUGCUCACUGGCCCUUUCUCGUGUUCCGAUCACCCGAAACGAGGAACCUGAAAAGAUAAAAUUUUGCGAAGAAGACGAGUCAGGAAUUAGCUCCGCUCCGCCCCGGCCCGGACAGACGCGGGCUCGUGGGUCUCUCCGAGGUUCAGGUCAUCUUAUCCAUUGAAGAUGUUUCUGAAAUCUGGCUUUCGGUUGAUAUAUUCAUGACGCUUAAUCCACCAGCUGUUAUCAGAAUUCCGAGGUGAUGCAGAGCACCAACAAUAUUGGAAGUUGAAGGACGGUUCGCGUCUUGUGCUCUUAAUCAGGGGAAGCGAGUUUGCUUUAAAUGCAAGGGCAGAAUAGCAACAGCGAUUCAGUCCCUGACAAUUUUGAUGCCAAUAUGGGGUCUUUUUCUCACAAUAAUGACCUGAAUCAGCAUUCUAGCCUGAACAACAGUUCACAUCUGGAGGGUAGUCGUUUCCCGAUUAAUAUGGGAUCUUCUAGUGAAGCAACAUUGGUGAAUACGGUUGGUCAUGGCGUUGAGGACUUUACUGGAUGGAGUCUGGGUCAUCCUGGCUCUAUAUUGCAUCAGGAAAGCCAAGCUGGUCAUGAAGAUAGGAAAGGGAAACAGUUAUGUACUCCUUCAAUGAGUGGUGAAGCAGGUUCCAGUUCGGCUGGAAGGCAAUUUGAACGGCCUAACGCAUUUCUUCCGGGGUUGCGGAUAAGUAAUCAAAUCCCUGCUGGCCCUGUAAGUUUUCGCAAUUCAAGCACCAAUGCUGAUCCUUGGCGUCCAAAUAUGAGUGAGCGAUAUGCAGGUCAUACUGCUGGACCUGGAUCUUCUGCUAGUGUUCCCAAUAACUCUUGUUCUCCAGAAGUUGACGAUAUGAUUUCAGAUAUUGCUUCAUCGGCUAAUUUUGGGAGUUUAUCUAAUAUCCCUGGUCAGAUGGAGGAGAGAAAUAAUGGGUCAAGUUCUUCCAUGGGGUACUGGGGAUCAUCAUGCAAGAGAAAAACCUUUGAAGGGACUUCGGGACAUCCCCACGCUGGUUCAAGUUCAGGUUACUAUCCUCAGACCGAAGGUGUACCUUGGCCUCCUACUGGGCUGAGUUUAUCUCAACCUACGUCAUGGAAUUCUCCCAGUGCUUAUUAUCAGGAGCCACUGUACCCCAGAACUGGGAUUGGCAUGAGAGAAAGCAACCCUGCCCCAUUCUCUUCUUCAAGGGUCACAGGAAAUAGCGAGAUUCCACUGAGAAAUUUCAGUGGGCAGGUAAGUUCAGGACUUCAGCAGGAGUCUGAUCCAUCGAGGAGUGCCAGGCAUGCUAAUGCCUUUUCUCUUCAGCAGUCACAUAGAUCUCGUCGGCCUAAUCCUUUGGACCCAAGAUUAGCAUUUAUGGUGGCAAACAAUACGCACACCCCACAGACAGAGUUGAAUAUGAGACCCCCCUUUGGUCCAUCGAGAAACAUGGAUGCUGUUCCCUGGAAUGCCACUUCUGCAUCGAGAAGUAGCAAUGUUUCGAAUUCUUUUCUUCCUGAAGAGGUAGUUGUCCAAGAGGGAGUAAAUUUCAGAAGCAAUUCAAGAAGCAUUUCCGAUGUUCCCAUGUUUCCAUUAGCUGAGGCCAGAAUGCUGCAAGAUCCAGCAAGUUGGAGUUCGGCGGGUAGAAACACAGGUGGUCUGAAUGGUCCUCCUACUGUUCUUGUCAAUGCCAGUUCAAGCGUCCGGUCUUCACCUCCUUCCCGGGUACCUAUCCAACCACCAGUUUCAUAUGGGGAACAAUUACUAGAAUUGGCUCCUUGGUCUCUCUCUCCUCCUGUUGAUGGUGAGUCGAGCAGACGCAGUAGCCCCUUGCCCUCCCUCCCAUCAAAUGCAUCUUCUUUGCAGGAGAUAGCAGUCUCAACUGGAGCUAAUAACCAAGGAAAUCAUCCGGAAAGCACAAGAUCUUCCUCUGCAGACAGACGACUUGAAGGUGUGCAUGAGUCCUGGCGUGCUUUAACAGCUAACGUAGAGGGGAGACAACGCGUUGUAUCCGAGAUUCUUCAAGUUUUAGAAGCCAUGCAAAGGGGAGAACGUGUACGAGCUGAGGAUUACGUGAUUUUUCAGCCCUUCUUAAAUAAUGGUUUCGGCGAGAUGCACGACAGACAUCGAGAUAUGCGCCUAGAUGUUGAUAACAUGUCUUACGAGGAAUUGUUAGCACUCGAAGAACGCAUAGGAGAUGUUAGCACUGGGCUGAGUGAGGAAACAAUUUUGAAGGCCUUGAAGCGGCAGAAGAAGAAUGUAUCUGUUGCUGGAGAGCUCCCGCAGGAUGUGGAGCCAUGCUGUAUUUGUCAGGAGGAAUAUGCUGAUGGAGAUGACCUCGGGGUACUCGGUUGUGGCCAUGAAUUUCAUGCUGACUGCAUCAAACAGUGGUUAAUGCGCAAGAAUCUUUGUCCAAUCUGUAAAACCACAGGCUUACCUAUAUGACAGGGUAAGUGCGCUAUAGCGAAUUGGACAGUCCAGUGCAUCGAAACCUUGGAAGAGACGUUUGCAAAGCUGGAAAAGAGAAAGCACCAAAGCCUUCAAUCUCAAUCAUAAAGCUGUUUCGGAAAGCCUAGCCAGUAGCCAAUGUCCCAAGGGAGAGAUUCAUGACCAGGCGUCGGCUUCCAAUUAUUCUGGCCAAGUCGAACUCGUUUCCAUCUGCCCCUUAUCCAGUGACUUUGAACACGGACCUCUACGACUGUCGUUCCGAACGUGGAACAGUUACGGCCAUAUGCUCUGCGAUGGAGAUGCUUAACAUCGAGGUCAUAGCCGGUAGCUAACAUUUCUUGUGAUCAGAACCGAAGCGUGUUCCCUACUCGAGUUUGCCUUUGAAUGGUGAAGCAUAAGCAGGCAGCUGAAUCUGCUAAUGGAGUUGCGGAUGCAUCGCGGGUCGAACAGAUAUACGAGCAAUUCAGCUGAGGAGAUCAUGCAUAUGGAUCUCUGCGUAUACAACAAUUCAAAACUCGUCCGAAGCGAAGAAACCGUCAAUUCAGUUCGGCUUUGCUUGAAGACUAGUUAUCGAAUCUCUCUAUCCAACAUUAAAUGAUAGUUACGAUUGGAUUUAGUCGAUGCUCUACUAUUUAUUCUCCGGAACAUCUUUAUCUCCCCAGUUAAACUCAUAUCAAGCUCGUUCAUUCGUCUCGAGUCUUGCUUUUGAUCAAA